rnacentral:lncRNA from 1 species
UCAGCCUAUCACCAAAGGAAGAAAAAAUUCAAUAGAAACCAACUUUUAGUGUGUUCAAACCUUCUGCCUUACAGAAGUAAUAGCUUACAGACACAAUAUAAUUGAAGAAUGGGUGUGAAUAUAAAAAGUUAUAACUGCAGUAACCUGUGCUUUUACCAUCAUGAUGGUCUUAUCUGCAGUUGAAUCAACUCGUACUCCAAAGGUAAAAAUUAGAAUUUAGAGAAAUACCUCAGCAAAAUUUCCCCCUCCAGUGAAUAGAGUUUAUUUUCUCUUUUUCAGAGUAAGUUCAUAGCAAGGAACUGGGGCCCUCAAUCAAUGCUAUACCUCAAAGGACGAUGUAAGUAGUCUUUAUUUCUCAUUUUCUAAAAUAUCCUAGUAAACAAUUAUUGUUUAGAUAAAAAUUGGUUAAGAUAUAUUACAUUAGUUUUUUUAAAAAAAAUCUGU